GACGUAGGGCGCGAGCGUUGUCCGGAUUUAUUGGGCGUAAAGAGCUCGUAGGCGGCUUGUCGCGUCAACUGUGAAAACCCGUGGCUCAACCAUGUGGUCUGCAGUCGAUACGGGCAGGCUAGAAUUCGGUAGGGGAGACUGGAAUUCCUGGUGUAGCGGUGAAAUGCGCAGAUAUCAGGAGGAACACCGGUGGCGAAGGCGGCGUCCUGGACCAACACUGACACUGAAAAGCGAAAGCCAGGGGAGCAAACGGG
rnacentral:rRNA from 1 species